GUCCACGCCGUAAACGAUGGAUACUAGCUGUUGGGAUUUAUCUCAGUGGCUAAGCGAAAGUGAUAAGUAUCCCACCUGGGGGAGUACGUUCGCAAGAAUGAAACUCAAAGGAAUUGACGGGGGCCCGCACAAGCGGUGGAGCAUGUGGUUUAAUUCGAUGAUACGCGAGGAACCUUACCAAGGCUUAAAUGUAGAUUGACCGGUUUGGAAACAGAUCUUUCGCAAGACAAUUUACAAGGUGCUGCAUGGUUGUCGU
rnacentral:rRNA from 1 species